rnacentral:lncRNA from 1 species
CUGGGCAGAGAAUUCCAUGUCCUCUCUCACAUCCUAAUGGUGGUGGUUGAACCAGGAGCCAGUUUAUUCCCAAAUGGUGUUCCUUGGCUCUAUGCUGUGUUUGCUGUGCUUUUUGUAUUUUUUCUUUUUGCCAUGUUAUCUCCCUUUUUACUUGAGAUAGACCAGCACAUAAAGAAAUAUGCAGGUAUUCUCUGCAUAACACUGUGCAUAAGGACAAAAAAAACAGUGAGAUAAAGAUGGACCAUCUAGAAAGGCCAGG